GCCAAACAGCUAGCUUAAUCACCCAGAUAACCUCACAACAUAAAUAACCCAACACAAACCUAACAACAAAAACUAAACCAUUCUAUUACCUUAGUACGGGAGACGGAAAAGGUUAACCAUAGAGCAAUAGAAAAAGUACCGCAAGGGAAAGCUGAAAGAGAAAUGAAAUAACCCAUAUAAGCACAAAAAAGCAGAGACUAGAACUCGUACCUUUUGCAUCAUGAUUUAGCCAGUCAUACUCAAGCAAAGAGACCUUUAGUUUGAAAUCCCGAAACCAGGUGAGCUACCCCGAGACAGCCUAUUUAGGGCCAACCCGUCUCUGUGGCAAAAGAGUGGGAAGAGCUCCGGGUAGAGGUGACAGACCUACCGAACCUGGUGAUAGCUGGUUGCCUAGGAAAUGGAUAGAAGUUCAGCCUCGUACUCCCCCAAUCAAACAAGUGAACACAAACACAGACCAAAGAGAAACAUACGAGAGUUAGUUAAAGGGGGUACAGCCCCUUCAACCAAGGACACAACCUUAACAGGAGGAUAAGGAUCAUACUUUUCAAAACCACCCGUUUUAGUGGGCCUAAAAGCAGCCACCUGAACAGAAAGCGUUAAAGCUCAAACGGAACAAAGUUUAUUAUUCUGAUAACCAAUCCUACUCCCCUAAAUAUACUAGGCCGCUCCAUGCCCACAUGGAAGAGACUAUGCUAAAAUGAGUAAUAAGAAGACACGCUCUUCUCCAAGCACAAGUGUAAGCUAGAUCGGACCCGCCACUGGCAAUUAACGAACCCAACCCAAGAGGGAAAUCCGAAUACCAAAAAAACCAAGAAAAACUCGUAACCCCAAUCGUUAACCCCACACUGGAGUGCUAAACCCAAGGAAAGACUGAAAGAAAGGGAAGGAACUCGGCAAACACAAGCCUCGCCUGUUUACCAAAAACAUCGCCUCCUGCCAAACCCUAAGUAUAGGAGGUCCAGCCUGCCCAGUGACUACACAGUUCAACGGCCGCGGUAUUUUGACCGUGCAAAGGUAGCGCAAUCACUUGUCUUUUAAAUGAAGACCUGUAUGAAUGGCCAAACGAGGGCUUAACUGUCUCCCCUUUCAGGUCAAUGAAAUUGAUCUAUCCGUGCAGAAGCGGGUAUAAAAAUACAAGACGAGAAGACCCUUUGGAGCUUAAGGUACAAACCCACCCACGUCAAACAACUUAACAAAAAGCACGAACUUAAUGGAAACUGGGAUAUUACCUUCGGUUGGGGCGACCACGGAGGAAAGAAAAGCCUCCGAGUGGACUGGGAAUAUUCCCAAAGCCAAGAGAAACAUCUCUAAGCCACAGAACAUCUGACCAACUAUGAUCCGGCCACAAGGCCGAUCAACGAACCAAGUUACCCUAGGGAUAACAGCGCAAUCCUCUCCCAGAGUCCAUAUCGACGAGGGGGUUUACGACCUCGAUGUUGGAUCAGGACAUCCUAAUGGUGCAGCCGCUAUUAAGGGUUCGUUUGUUCAACGAUUAAAGUCCUACGUGAUCUGAGUUCAGACCGGAGCAAUCCAGGUCAGUUUCUAUCUGUAAUGCUACUUUUCCUAGUACGAAAGGACCGGAAAAAGGGGGCCUCUACCCAAAGCACGCCCCACCCCUAACUAAUGAAAACAACUUAAUUAGACAAAGGGAGAGCAUAACCCACAAGUUCAAGAUAAGAACAU
rnacentral:rRNA from 1 species